ACGGGAGGCAGCAGUGGGGAAUAUUGCACAAUGGGCGAAAGCCUGAUGCAGCGACGCCGCGUGGGGGAUGACGGCCUUCGGGUUGUAAACCCCUUUCAGUAGGGAAGAAGCGAGAGUGACGGUACCUGCAGAAGAAGCGCCGGCUAACUACGUGCCAGCAGCCGCGGUAGUACGUAGGGCGCAAGCGUUGUCCGGAAUUAUUGGGCGUAAAGAGCUUGUAGGUGGCUUGUCGCGUCUGCCGUGAAAACCCGAGGCUCAACCUCGGGCGUGCGGUGGGUACGGGCAGGCUAGAGUGUGGUAGGGGAGACUGGAACUCCUGGUGUAGCGGUGAAAUGCGCAGAUAUCAGGAAGAACACCGAUGGCGAAGGCAGGUCUCUGGGCCAUUACUGACACUGAGAAGCGAAAGCAUGGGUAGCGAACAGGAUUAGAUACCCUGGUAGUCCAUGCCGUAAACGUUGGGCACUAGGUGUGGGGGACAUUCCACGUUUUCCGCGCCGUAGCUAACGC
rnacentral:rRNA from 1 species